rnacentral:pre_miRNA from 1 species
AAUAAGUGCAGUUUUACACUAUUCAUGUUCAACGUUUGACCGUCCGUCUUAUUUGAAAAUUUUUUAUGAUUAGUAUUUUUAUUGCUAUUAGAUAAUAAAACAUGAAUAGUACUUUAUGUGUGACUAAAUGUUUUUAAUUUUUUCACAAAUUUUUCAAAUAAGACGGACGGUCAAACGUUGAACGUGAAUAGUGCAAAACUGCACUUAUU